UGGGGAAUAUUGCACAAUGGGCGCAAGCCUGAUGCAGCCAUGCCGCGUGUAUGAAGAAGGCCUUCGGGUUGUAAAGUACUUUCAGUCGGGAGGAAGGUGGUAAGGUUAAUAACCUUAUCAAUUGACGUUACCGACAGAAGAAGCACCGGCUAACUCCGUGCCAGCAGCCGCGGUAAUACGGAGGGUGCAAGCGUUAAUCGGAAUUACUGGGCGUAAAGCGCACGCAGGCGGUUGAUUGAGUCAGAUGUGAAAUCCCCGGGCUUAACCCGGGAAUUGCAUCUGACACUGGUCAGCUAGAGUCUUGUAGAGGGGGGUAGAAUUCCAUGUGUAGCGGUGAAAUGCGUAGAGAUGUGGAGGAAUACCGGUGGCGAAGGCGGCCCCCUGGACAAAGACUGACGCUCAGGUGCGAAAGCGUGGGGAGCAAACAGG
rnacentral:rRNA from 1 species